UUUCCGAUUUCAGGCCGGAACCGGAAGUUCAGUGGGCGGGGCCCGGCGGCGGAAAACGCUGCGGAGCCGGAGCCGGGGUUCGGCUGUGGCCACUGCCCCUGUCCCCGCCACGGAGCGCGGUGGCUUCAGGCUGAAGGUCGGUCCGGAGGCGGGUGGGCGCGGGUCUCCCCCGGAGUGUCCGGGUGGCAGCCUCCCCGGGCCCCCCGGGCUCCGCGAAGGAUCAUGUCUACAGCCUCCGCCGCUUCCUCCUCUUCCUCAUCUUCGGCCGGUGAGAUGAUCGAAGCCCCCUCCCAAGUCCUCAACUUUGAAGAGAUUGACUACAAGGAGAUCGAAGUGGAAGAGGUUGUUGGAAGAGGAGCCUUUGGAGUAGUCUGCAAAGCUAAAUGGAGAGCAAAAGAUGUUGCCAUCAAACAAAUAGAAAGUGAAUCUGAGAGGAAAGCUUUUAUUGUAGAGCUUCGACAGUUAUCCCGCGUGAACCAUCCUAAUAUUGUAAAGCUGUAUGGGGCCUGCUUGAAUCCAGUGUGUCUUGUGAUGGAAUAUGCUGAAGGGGGCUCUUUAUAUAAUGUGCUGCAUGGUGCUGAACCAUUGCCAUAUUACACUGCUGCCCACGCAAUGAGUUGGUGUUUACAGUGUUCCCAAGGAGUGGCUUAUCUUCACAGCAUGCAACCCAAAGCUCUAAUUCACAGGGACCUGAAACCACCAAACUUGUUGCUGGUUGCAGGGGGGACAGUUUUAAAAAUCUGUGACUUUGGUACAGCCUGUGACAUUCAGACACACAUGACCAAUAACAAGGGCAGUGCUGCUUGGAUGGCACCUGAAGUUUUUGAAGGUAGCAAUUACAGUGAAAAAUGUGACGUCUUCAGCUGGGGUAUUAUCCUUUGGGAAGUAAUAACACGUCGGAAACCCUUUGAUGAGAUUGGUGGCCCAGCUUUCCGUAUCAUGUGGGCUGUUCAUAAUGGUACUCGACCACCACUGAUCAAAAAUUUACCUAAGCCCAUUGAGAGCCUGAUGACUCGUUGUUGGUCUAAAGAUCCUUCUCAGCGCCCUUCAAUGGAGGAGAUUGUGAAAAUAAUGACUCACUUGAUGCGGUACUUUCCAGGAGCAGAUGAGCCAUUACAGUAUCCUUGUCAGUACUCAGAUGAAGGACAGAGCAAUUCUGCCACCAGUACAGGCUCAUUCAUGGACAUCGCUUCUACAAAUACCAGUAAUAAAAGUGACACUAAUAUGGAGCAAAUUCCUGCAACAAAUGAUACUAUUAAACGCUUAGAAUCAAAAUUGUUGAAAAAUCAGGCAAAGCAACAGAGUGAAUCGGGACGUUUAAGCCUGGGAGCUUCCCGUGGGAGCAGCGUGGAGAGCUUGCCCCCCACCUCUGAGGGCAAGAGGAUGAGUGCUGACAUGUCUGAAAUAGAAGCCAGGAUUGCUGCGACAACAGCCUAUUCCAAGCCUAAACGGGGCCACCGUAAAACUGCUUCAUUUGGCAACAUUCUGGAUGUCCCUGAGAUCGUCAUAUCAGGCAACGGACAGCCAAGACGUAGGUCCAUCCAAGACUUGACUGUUACUGGAACAGAACCUGGUCAGGUAAGCAGUAGGUCAUCCAGUCCUAGUGUCAGAAUGAUCACUACCUCAGGACCAACCUCAGAAAAGCCAAGUCGAAGUCAUCCAUGGACUCCUGAUGAUUCCACAGAUACCAAUGGAUCGGAUAACUCCAUCCCAAUGGCUUAUCUUACACUGGAUCACCAGCUACAGCCUCUAGCACCGUGCCCAAACUCCAAAGAAUCUAUGGCAGUGUUUGAGCAGCAUUGUAAAAUGGCACAAGAAUAUAUGAAAGUUCAAACAGAAAUUGCAUUGUUAUUACAGAGAAAGCAAGAACUAGUUGCAGAACUGGACCAGGAUGAAAAGGACCAGCAAAAUACAUCUCGUCUGGUGCAGGAACAUAAAAAGCUUUUAGAUGAAAACAAAAGCCUUUCUACUUAUUACCAGCAAUGUAAAAAACAACUAGAGGUCAUCAGAAGCCAGCAGCAAAAACGACAAGGCACUUCAUGAUUCUCUGGGACCUUCAAAUUUUAAAAUAUGCAAAGAAAGACUUUUUUUUUUUAAGGAAAGAAAAGCCCUUCUAAUGACAAUUCGUGAGUGUUAGCUUUUGGGCGUGUUCUGAAUGCCAACUGCCUAUAUUUGCUGCAUUUUGUUUCAUCGUUUAUUUUCUUUUUCUCAUGGUGGACAUGCAGUUCAACUGUCUCCUUGCAUAACAUGGGGGCAUCUGUGACUUGAAUAAGCAGCAGUUCUCAACUUCAAAACAGAUGCAGUGAACCAUGGCUAUAUAUGCAUGCUCAUUGUGUGAAGGCUAGCCUAACAAAACGGGGUAUCAAACUAGCUGCUAUGUGCAAACAUCGCCUUUUUUCGAGGUGGAACCUCAAGAAUGAUUUUGUUCUUGUAUCUCAUCUCAAAAAACAAAUAAUUUUUUUUUUCCAAAAGAUGGUAUAUACCAAGUUAAAGACAGGGUAUUAUAAAAUCUAGAAUAAUCAGUGGUACAUUAUAGAAAUGCAGAACCUUUAGAGAUAGUUCCAAAGUGAGGGCUCUGAUGCCAGCAUCCUUCAAUCAGUACUGAACUUAGUUCCAUCCAUAAAAUAUUUAAAGGUAAGUGGCGGCUGCUGUAUUUAAUAAAAGCAUAUUUCAUUGGACUGAAAUUAUGAUACAUUGAACAAAAUGGAACCCUUUUUUUUAAGAUAUAAAGAUUUUUAAUUCUGUGAUUGUGUGUAUGUGUGUUGAGACUGUAAAGACUUUAUGACUCUAAUAUUAAUAUCUCCUAAAUGAAAUUAAAAGGUAAAUGAACACGAUCCAGCUUAAAUGAUCAUUCCUUCCUGCAAUGAUUAUUGGAUUGUUGUAGUGUAUAUUUGAAAAACUGAAGAGAAAUGAUGGAAAAUGGAAAUAAUUGCUCCAACUAAAAGGCUUGGGCUUAGAUUUCUUUUAUGAUACCAAAAGAGUAAAAAAUUAAAAAAAACCUGGCAAAUCAGGAGAAGUUUAGUAAGGAAGUUAAAGAAGGAAAUAUAAAUUCAUCAAGUAUACUCUUUAUCAACAUUGGAAUAAUUAAUUUUCCUUACAAGCCCAUCCUAGAAUGCCUGCUGCCUUUCAACACUUUUAAGGGAAUUUCAACACUUAUAAAGAGAAAAUUUAUAUUGUUAACAAUAACUUUGCUACCGUAAACUUUGAAAAUAAAAGUAAUAAAAAAACUUCAUUGAAAUAAUAGACUAUAUAAGCUCUAUUUUUUCAGUUGGUAUUAAAAUAAAUCACAUUUUGAUACCAGUACAAGGUGUCUUUUAAAUAAGGAUGUCAUCAACCUCAUUUUUAUAGCAUUAAUGUUUUAUGAAGAGAAAAUUAAAAAUGAAAGCAUAAUUUCUGUGAUUAUUAGAAUUAUAUCAUGAUUGUAUUGUAGUUCUACUCUGUUUCAGAUAAGCAAGUUGAUCUAAGAAGUUAUCAAAACUAUUCUUAAAAAAUGCUAAAGCAGCUUCUUUUAUGUUCCUAGUUUCCGCUCCUGCCUGUAGCCAGAGAUGAUAGGUUUUGCCUGUGAAACUUUUUUCUUUCUGUUAAGUGUAUGGUUUUCAGCAGUCAACUCCUCUUCAAAUGGAACUCAGGGCCCUUUGCCAUGGGCACAACCAUUGGAGCCCUUGCAUGAAUCCUACAGGGGCAGGAACUUCCCUUCCCACUACUGGCCCCAACCUGGAUCCCUGCAGGUAGGGGUGGACCCAAAGGGAGUGAUUCCAAAGGUUGUCCCAUGGAUUUGGUGAAGAUGAAGCAUAGUGUCAACAAGAGGAGUAAAAAAAUAAAUAAAUCAGAACUUUAAUGGCA